rnacentral:rRNA from 1 species
AUACGUAGGGGGCGAGCGUUGUCCGGAAUUACCGGGCGUAAAGGGCGUGUAGGCGGCCUGUUAAGUCAGGCGUGAAAACCCCGGGCUUAACCUGGGGACUGCGUUUGAAACUGGCGGGCUUGAGGGCAGGAGAGGAAAGUGGAAUUCCCGGUGUAGCGGUGAUAUGCGUAGAUACCGGGAGGAACACCAGUGGCGAAGGCGGCUUUCUGGACUGCACCUGACGCUGAGGCGCGAAAGCCAGGGGAGCGAACGGUAUUAGAUACCCCGGUAGUCCUGGCCGUAAACGAUGGGUACUAGGUGUGGGAGGUAUCGACUCCUUCCGUGCCGGAGUUAACACAAUAAGUACCCCGCCUGGGGAGUACGUGCGCAAGCAUGAA